UGGAUUGUCAUUUUCUUUUCAUUGUACAGAAAAAUUAGAUUGAUUCGAAAAAAUAUAAGUGACGUGUCAGGAAGCAAAAUUAAAAAUAUUCAUAAAUUUGUUAAUUGUUUGCGUUUUAUUUCGUUUUGCACCCUUAACCACGUCAGCAUGAAAUGGGUGAAUUGAAGGUUUUGGAACAGACACAUCCCCUUCUAAUGGUGACAGAAGUUAUGAAUACAAAAGGUAAUCUAGUGACGGACACCGAGAAUGUGCAAGGAAUUUGGACAACUUUUACAGUUUCGACGGCGCUACUUUGGAUUGCAAAUUGUAGAUUAUAUGGACUUGGAAAACAGCGCUGAGGACAGAAUAUAACAUGUGUGGAUCUAGAUCUCUUGGUAUUACCAUGUCCCGAUAAUGAAGUGAUACUCAUAUUGGAAACGCAAAUUUUUCCUGUUCGUAUUGAAGUGAGGGAUCAUUAAAUAAAAAACUAUAAUUAUUUUCAAGCAAUAUUUUUCAUGUUUUAUACG
rnacentral:sRNA from 1 species